rnacentral:rRNA from 1 species
CCUACGGGUGGCAGCAGUGGGGAAUAUUGCACAAUGGAGGAAACCCUGAAGCAGCAACGCCGCGUGAAGGAAGACGGUUCUCGGAGUGUAAACCUCUGUUCUUAGUGAAGAAUACUGACGGAAGCUAAGGAGCAAGCCACGGCUAACUACGUGCCAGCAGCCGCGGUAAUAGGUAGGAGGCAAGCGUUGUCCGGAAUUACUGGGUGUAAAGGGAGCGCAGGCGGGAAGCCAAGUCAGAUGUGAAAACUCCGGGCUUAACUUGUGGACUGAAGUUGAAACUGGUUUUCUUGAGUGAAGUAGAGGUUGGCGGAAUGCCGGGUGUAGCGGUGAAAUGCGUAGAUAUUC